rnacentral:rRNA from 1 species
GUAGGUGGCAAGCGUUGUCCGGAUUUAUUGGGCGUAAAGCGAGCGCAGGCGGAAGAAUAAGUCUGAUGUGAAAGCCCUCGGCUUAACCGAGGAACUGCAUCGGAAACUGUUUUUCUUGAGUGCAGAAGAGGAGAGUGGAACUCCAUGUGUAGCGGUGGAAUGCGUAGAUAUAUGGAAGAACACCAGUGGCGAAGGCGGCUCUCUGGUCUGCAACUGACGCUGAGGCUCGAAAGCAUGGGUAGCGAACAGGAUUAGAUACCCUGGUAGUCCAUGCCGUAAACGAUGAGUGCUAAGUGUUGGGAGGUUUCCGCCUCUCAGUGCUGCAGCUAACGCAUUAAGCACUCCGCCUGGGGAGUACGACCGCAAGGUUG